UGCAGUCGAGCGGACUGAUGGGGAGCUUGCUCCCCUGACGUCAGCGGCGGACGGGUGAGUAACACGUGGGCAACCUGCCUCACAGAUUGGGAUAACUCCGGGAAACCGGGGCUAAUACCGAAUAAUCAAAGGAACCGCAUGGUUCCCUUGUAAAAGUUGGGUUUUACCUAACACUGUGAGAUGGGCCCGCGGCGCAUUAGCUAGUUGGUGAGGUAGUGGCUCACCAAGGCGACGAUGCGUAGCCGACCUGAGAGGGUGAUCGGCCACACUGGGACUGAGACACGGCCCAGACUCCUACGGGAGGCAGCAGUAGGGAAUCAUCCGCAAUGGACGAAAGUCUGACGGUGCAACGCCGCGUGAGUGAUGACGGUCUUCGGAUUGUAAAGCUCUGUUGUUAGGGAAGAACAAGUGCCGUUCAAAUAGGGCGGCACCUUGACGGUACCUAACCAGAAAGCCCCGGCUAACUACGUGCCAGCAGCCGCGGUAAUACGUAGGGGGCAAGCGUUGUCCGGAAUUAUUGGGCGUAAAGCGCGCGCAGGCGGUUCCUUAAGUCUGAUGUGAAAGCCCACGGCUCAACCGUGGAGGGUCAUUGGAAACUGGGGAACUUGAGUGUAGGAGAGGAAAGUGGAAUUCCAAGUGUAGCGGUGAAAUGCGUAGAUAUUUGGAGGAACACCAGUGGCGAAGGCGACUUUCUGGCCUACAACUGACGCUGAGGCGCGAAAGCGUGGGGAGCAAACAGGAUUAGAUACCCUGGUAGUCCACGCCGUAAACGAUGAGUGCUAGGUGUUAGGGGUUUCGAUACCCUUAGUGCCGAAGUUAACACAUUAAGCACUCCGCCUGGGGGAGUACGGUCGCAAGACUGAAACUCAAAAGGAAUUGACGGGGGGCCCGCACAAACAGUGGAAGCAUGGGGGUUUAAUU
rnacentral:rRNA from 1 species